rnacentral:tRNA from 1 species
GCCCUCGUGGUGUAAUGGUCAGCACGCUGGGCUCGUAUUCCAGAGGUCCAUGAUCCGAGUCCCGGCGAAGGCG